CUACUACCGAUUGAAUGGCUCAGUGAGGCUCUCGGACUGGCUCAGGGAGGUUGGCAACGACCACCCCGAGCCGGAAAGUUCGUCAAACUCGGUCAUUUAGAGGAAGUAAAAGUCGUAACAAGGUUUCCGUAGGUGAACCUUCGGAAGGAUCAUUACUGUAACGCAAAUCGUAGGCUCGCCCACAACGGGAGGGCCGACCAUUUCGUCACCCUUGAUUUUGAGCACCUUUUGUUUCCUCGGCGGGUUCGCCCGCCAGCGAGGACCCAUUAAACUCUUUGUAUUAGCAAUAUUUGUCUGAAAAACAUACCAAUAAUCAAAACUUUCAACAAUGGAUCUCUUGGUUCUGGCAUCGAUGAAGAACGCAGCGAAAUGCGAUAAGUAGUGUGAAUUGCAGAAUUCAGUGAAUCAUCGAAUCUUUGAACGCACAUUGCGCCCCUCGGUAUUCCGUGGGGCAUGCCUGUUCGAGCGUCAUUUAACCCCUCAAGCUCAGCUUGGUAUUGGGUGCUUGUUCCGCCUCCGCGCGGCGACUCACCUCAAAAUCAGUGGCAGCCCGCACCAGCCGGCCGUGAGCGCAGCACAUACGCGCCCUAGGCUCUUUGGCAGGUCGGCUCUCCAGAAGCACUUCUUCCACUUUUGACCUCGGAUCAGGUAGGGAUACCCGCUGAACUUAAGC
rnacentral:rRNA from 1 species